CCCAGCCCUAGACUACUCUGGUGUUUGGUAAAGUCCCUAACAGCCUGCUUCUGCAGGAAGCCCUGGCUUUUUGAAGGCAAAACUUGAAGCAGCUCUAGGCCUCCUUUUGGAAGCAGCAGAAGCCGCGCGCUACUGUAGCGAAGGUUUAAUGAAUUUUUGGAGAUAGCAGUGGGUACCCUCAUGAACUUCAAGGAAUUACACGAGCCACCCUCAUCUCUUCCUCAACUCUCUCUCGGUGUUCUUAGCACGACGUCGUGCCUCCAUCGGCGCCUCCACCUUUGCUGUCCCCGGUGGCCACGUUGAGUUCGGCUGCUUGGAUUAAAGCUCACCAAGAGGAAAAGAGACAAGCUGUGGGAUUCUCAAGUUAAAUGAGGGAAGAUAUGAAGGAGAUUAAGUGAUAAGAAAGUUUCUGCAAUUGAUCAACCUAAUGAUCAAUGUGAAUUUUUUUUGUGUUUCUUUUGUAUUGUUACAGGAGAAUACUUCGUGUAUAAAAGUCAAUUCAGUUGAUUGGAUUGGAUUCCUGAAUUUAAAGCCAUCAUAGUCAAACUGAUUGACAGGUUUUCUCCUAUUGAAAUAUUUUUCGUAUCCAAUC